rnacentral:rRNA from 1 species
UACAGAGGGUGCGAGCGUUGUCCGGAAUCACUGGGCGUAAAGGGCGCGUAGGCGGCUUUUCAAGCGUGCGGUGAAAGCCCGGCGCUCAACGCCGGGUCGGCCGUGGAUACUCUCGGGCUUGAGCUUACUAGAGGCAGAUGGAAUUCCGGGUGUAGCGGUGGAAUGCGUAGAGAUGUGGAGGAACACCGAUGGCGAAGGCAGCCCCCUGGGCUAACACUGACGCUCAUGCACGAAAGCGUGGGGAGCAAACAGG